rnacentral:misc_RNA from 1 species
CGCUCAGUGCACCCAACCAACCCUCUUAUCGCCCCUUCCAUAAUGUGGCGCAGCCUCUAUCGGCGUGCGCCCGUUCCUAAUGAUGUCACUGGCCUCCGAGGCGUAGCCGAUCGCGCUGCCCACGGGUGGCAGAGAAGAACGGCGGCUGUCACUGGCUUGCUAACUACGCAGUCGUCGUCGCGCAGCCAUCUUGGUGCACGUCUCCUGUCGUCAUCGGCAUCGUCGCUUCGUGCGAACCCUCGCAGAUGCAUCGGUGCGCCAGGCUCGGCGCCGCACCCCUGCAGCGCCGCUCGCCAUCUUUCGUACGUCACGAAUGCGGCGAACUUUGAAGCAGAGGUGCUGCAGUCGCAGCAAGCCAUCUGCCUCAUCUACUACAUACCGAAUAGAAACUGCUCCGCGUACCUGAAAGCUGCCGAGAAGCUGGUGGAUUCGAUCAACGCUCAGGCAACAGGGCUGGACGCAGCAGCGUCGACGAGCGGCAGCGGCGGCGGCGCAGCGGAGGUGUCACUGUCAGAGCUAACCGUGGAGGUGAACGGCACGCAGGUGUCAGAAACCGCUGAGGGCGACGCAGCUCCGUCCACGUUGUCGCCAGCUUCAUCUGCUGCGCCAACCCAGCGGCCAAACAAGAUGGAGUGGUUGAAGCUCUGCACGAUCAACGCGGACGAGAACCGCAAUUUAGCCUCCGCCUUCUCGGUGGAGCGCGCGAGGCUGCCGAUUACAUACUUCGUGAUGCAAGGCACCAUUGUCGAUAAGGUCGUGGGCCACGUCGCUGAGGCGCGACUGAGCAGCAUCCUCAUCAAGUUCCUCGAGCACUACCAGAAGGAAAUGAACGUGGAUCUUCUCGCACGACAGAACAAGUCGAGCAGGACGGGCGGCGCGAGUGCCAGCCCGCUCCCCUCCGCCGCCACAGCAGACCUUCUCAGUGGCGCCUCGACGGCGUUCUUGCAGGAGAAGAUCAUGAACGCCCUAGUAGGUGCGGACAUGAUCCAGCUGCCCGAGGAAGCCGAGAAACUCGACGGUCUGCGACGCACGUUGCAGGAAGCAAAGAAAAAGGCACACGCAGAGCUGCAGGAGUUGCACAAGCAGCUGGGCAUGGACGUGCGCCGCCUCAGCGACGCUGAGAUGCAGGCCUACUACUUUAAAGCCCCUCAGUUCUACGCACUCGGUCGGCUUUGUGCGCUCGAGGCGCUUUACCUUGCGCGGUCGCACGCGACGCUCGGCGAUGUGGCGCGCGUCAACGUGGACUGGGCCCGUCAUGCAGUGCGCAAAGACUUUGAGGCCAUUCAAGGCGACCUCGUGCUGCGGCGGGUGCUGGCCUUGGUGGAUGCGAACCUGGUUCGUGGUGAGCUGCGCACAGCGGCGGUGCUGGCGGCGCAGGAUGCGAACCGGCUCUGCAGCGUCCUAGCCGCGAUGGACACCGACGAUGUGCGCGGUGCGCAGCAUCGCAACACCCUAAAGGAGAUGGAGGCGCUUAUCGCGGGGCAGAGCCAGUACUGCCUGGACAUGCUGCGCAUCAUCGACGACAACAUCGACAGCCGAGCACUCGAUGGCAGCGCGUUCCCAUCUGCGAUCGUAGAUCAGCUGUUUGAGCUGCUGAAGAGCAAUCUGAAGCUGAGUCGGACGCAUCUCUCGCAGUCAUCGCGGACUGCAGAGGCCGAUGCGCCGGACGCCGGAGGCGCCGAAGAGAGCAUGAAGGUUUUCAUGGACGGCAAGGCGAUCGAUACGACGGCGAAGCGGGUACUGAUGGCGAAGGCACGAGUGCCGCAAGUUCGAACGUUGAUCAUGUCCCUUCUCCAGCUCUAUCCGACGGAUCCGAAGAGCCAAGACGCGCGGUCACGAUUGGCUUCCCUCCUUUAUUGAGGAGAGAGACGCUGCCGUCGCGGGUGGCGAGGGAAUCAGUGCGCCCUCACAAGUGUCACGGCCCGCCGCGUUGAAGUUCGUCGGAGUGCAGAUCUACAAAGGGGAGGGGGCGCCUACGUCGUUCGCUCCGACCGUGGCAAGACAGCUCUUGCAGAGACUCUCUCCUCUCUCGCCCUCGCUACCCCUUCCCCUACCACCGCCACCGCCAUCCCUUCAGCCCCGCGGCGGGCAGGGCAUAAACCGGACGAAGAAAAGCGGAUGCACGCAAGGCCCCCUCUCAACCACGUCUGUCUAUCCCUCCGUCGCCCUCUCCCUCUCCCUGGGGAGGGCGUGGGUUGGUGUAGGCUUGUGUGGGAGGGAGUGGGAGGCGGUAGUUAUCAAGUUUCUCGGUGAAUCGGGACAGUCGCAGCGGCGUCGUUGCUUCUCUUCGGUCUGUCUCCUUGACUUCGUUAGGCGCACGCGGUUGAAGAUGUUCUUCGACGUGCCUGUGUGUGUGUCUGCGUAGGGGCGCGUCACGCACGCUGCCGUCGUCCUUGUCGCCGACGUUUUGCUUCUUUCCCGUGUGAGUACUUCACAGCUGACCCCCACCCCCGCUCUCGAGUCUGAAGUAUCGCGUCGCACCCCAAUGUC